UACGGAGGGUGCAAGCGUUGUCCGGAAUCACUGGGCGUAAAGGGCGCGUAGGCGGCUCAUGAAGGCUGUGGUGAAAGUCCGGGGCUCAACCUCGGAUCGGCCGUGGCGACUCGUGGGCUGGAGCACUGUAGAGGCGGGUGGAAUUCCGGGUGUAGCGGUGGAAUGCGUAGAGAUCCGGAAGAACACCAGUGGCGAAGGCGGCCCGCUGGGCAGUGGCUGACGCUGAGGAGCGAAAGCCAGGGGAGCAAACGGG
rnacentral:rRNA from 1 species